rnacentral:lncRNA from 1 species
CUCCUUGAGAUGCGUCUACAUGAUCCUCACCUUCUUGUUCGUGUCCUACAACAAAGGCGACUGGAAGUGACCCCUGCUGUGCUUUCUAGCAGCCCUGCUGCACCUCCACUCCGCCGUCACAACUCCUCCGUCUCCCAGGCAGACAGUCUCACCUCUCCGAGAAAACUCUGUCCCCUAGAUGACCGAUUUGGAGGGUAACGCGUUGGGUCCUUUGAGGAAUAGCGCCUGUCUGCUCAGAGGCGUGGCAGGAAGGUGUCUCUGAGAAGAUGCGCCCAGAGAGUCACUGAGCCAGCCUCUGCAGGGGUGCUCCCCACACCUCCUCUUAAGCCUUUCUCAACACUUCCGCCCGUAGCCGUAAUAAAAUGUGCACUUGUUGAAAUGGCUGAAUGCCCAGUUCUUCCACUGAAACGUAUAUCGAUGUAGCGAGGGGGGUGGCAGGGGUGCCAAGAAUCCUGUCUCACAUUUCAUUCUGGCAGUCACCCCAUGAGGAAGGUUCUGUUUGGCUGCCUGUCUGACCAGCACCAUCUUGAUUGUUUUAAGAACACUUCGCCUUCAGUUCCACCGUCGGUUUGUUUUUAUUUCCUUGAAGCUCGUUCUUGGAAUUGUGGCUCCUGAUGUCAGCUUAUGUCACGGCGGCCGUCCAGUCGCCAUGCAGUUACCUUCUUCCACCUGGUGGGGGUUUCGGUCUCUCAAACCAGCUCAGAGGCUAUGGCUCAGAAUAUUAUCUAUAACCCUUGAAUAAGAACUAAAGAUGCUGGACUUAGCUUAUAGACGACACUAUUUUUGUUUGGUUUUGACUGUUUUCCUUUGUUUCUGCCUUUUCUCCUUUCUUUGAUUAAAGUUAUUCUUUGGCUAAAGACAAAAGCAAGUGGAGGACGUGGAGGGAAAGGACCGGCUCCCUUUCAUUCUGAUACACGUGUGUAUUGUGAAUUGACCACUGCAAUGGCAACAUCCAUCCCCUCACAGUUACCAUUUUCAUCUUGUGACGAGCUCCUUUAAGAUCCAGUCUCUCAGCAGCCUUCAAAUACACACACAGCAGAUUGCAGUGAGCUGGAGAGAGCUUACCAGGGGACCAAGGAGCUGCAAAGUAUACUACUGCUUAGGAAAAGCAGUGAUUUUUUUAAGGAAAAGCCCUUGAAGAGCAUUGGUUGGGGGCGAGUGGGGUGGUGGAGGCUGACUUUGUCCCCCGCCCCCGCC